ensembl:lncRNA
CCUUAGAAUCUCAAUCAACCAAUCAGAUUCAAGCAUUCAACAGCCCUGUAGUAGAUUAUAAUCCAUAAUAACACUUCCUCCAGUGAAAAAGUGCAUCUCCUGCUGUCUCUCACAUCAGAAUCCAGACACAUAUUUGUUUAGAGCUGUUUAAACACUGCUUGAUCUGUGCAGAUUUCUCUCCUGAUUCACACCAGAACACUUUUUCACUGGAGGAAGUGUUAUUAUGAAUAGAGGGCUCUCUUAAAAACAUCUGAAUGCUGGAUGUGUUUCAUCUUUUGUCUUCUCCAGAUGUUCACUGAUGGACUGGAGUGCUGUUGAUUAUUGUGAUGUUUUUAUCAGCUGUUUGGACUCUCAUUCUGACGGCACCCAUUCAUGAGUACUCCAUCAGUGAACAUCUGGAGAAGACAAAAGAUGAAACAAAUCCAGCGUUCAGAUGUUUUUUACUCAAAUACAUAGAGUCUAUAAUCCAUAAUAACACUUCCUCCAGUGAAAAAGUGCAUCUGCUGUUGUCUCUCACAUCAAAAUCCAGUCACAUAUUUGUUUAGAGCUGUUUAAACGCUGCUUGAUCUGUGCAGAUUUCUCUCCUGAUUCAGACCAGAACACUUUUUCACUGGAGGAAGUGUUAUUAUGGACUCUUAAAAACAUCUUAAUGCUGGAUGUGUUUCAUCUUUUGUCUUCUCCAGAUGUUCACUGAUGGACUGGAGUGCUGUGGAUUACUUGUGGAUUAUUGUGAUGUUUUUAUCAGCUGUUUGGACUCUCAUUCUGACGGCACCCAUUCACUGCAGAGCAUCCAUUGCUGAGACACUGAUGCAAUGCUACAUUUCAACAAAUCUGAUGAAGAAACAAACUCAUCCUAAUCUCAGAUGAACUGAGGAUGAGCACAUUUUUAGCAAAUUUCCAAUUUUGAGUGAACUAUACAAAUGUUCAUUUUAAAAUGCAUUGUCAAAUGCUGAAAUUUUACAUGAAUGAAGAUUAUUAAAUGCUUUAUAAGUGUUUACCUUCAUUAGUUCAUGUUCACGAUUGUAGUUAACUAAUGUUAACCAGUGGAAGUUUUCUGACUGAACAGUGGCUCUGUGCUGAAGGAUGAUGAAGAGCGGCUGGGUUCAGAUCGAUGGUAAAGACUGGAGGAGAGGGUUUGAGGACACGGGGACGCUGCACGUGAGUCACACGUCCUUCUACACAUCAGCACGCCACACACCUCUCUCUGCUGCUUUAUUCUUGUUCUUUAUGGGGUCGUGAAACUGAUAACUGGUGACAAUUUGAACCAUCACAGAAAAUGAGAAAGAGAGGUAAAAAAAUGACUAUAAUCAGAGAAGAUGAACAGAGCAGUGUUGAAGAGAAACUAGCAACAUGCAGCCAUGUGACUACGUUCACUAGAUU